UACGGAGGGUGCAAGCGUUAUCCGGAUUUACUGGGUUUAAAGGGUGCGUAGGUGGACAGGAAAGUCAGUGGUGAAAUCUUCGAGCUUAACUCGGAAACUGCCAUUGAUACUAUUUGUCUUGAAUACUUUGGAGGUAAGCGGAAUAUGUGAUGUAGCGGUGAAAUGCUUAGAUAUGACAUAGAACACCAAUGGCGAAGGCAGCUUACUGCACCGUUACUGACGCUGAGGCACGAAAGCGUGGGGAUCAAACAGG
rnacentral:rRNA from 1 species